CAGACCCUCACCGUACAAGGCGCGGCGGGAGAUGCGGCCGGGCCGGGCCGGCCCUGCCCCGGCCUCAACCCCGACCCUCCGCCCGCCCCUCCUGCGGCCGGGCCCGGCUGCGCGGCCACGCUAAAACAGGAGCCCCGCCGGCACGGAGGGACGGAGGACAGGAGGGCGACGCGGCUCGGCGCAACCUAGCCACCCAUCCCUACCUUCUCCUCGUCGGACAGCUGCUCCUCCAGCAGGAAAUCAGAAUUCUUUCUUCAGAGAAUUUUGGAUUAAGCCCUUUUGCAAGUCUGCAAAUCUUAUCAAACAAUAUAUUCAAGGAGUCAAAGGACAGAAAAUUUGAGAUUGCAAGAGAGCCAAGAUUUUACCCACAUGGAUUCUGAAGCUGAUGAUGACUGUGGAUAAGGUCAGGUGUCCCAGAUACAAAACACCUUACAGACAUGAAACGCAGGAUGGAUGACCCUGAGGGACACAGAUUCAGGAAGGACUGUGGCACUAUAUACAGACAAGGACCCUGGUGCUUGUAGAAUGAAAGAAGCUCAAAUGGGAGCAGGUCCCAGCCUCAGAAAGCUUAACUCUUCCAAAAAUUUGUUGAAAUGAUUUUUUUUUAAAUUGUACUGGC